rnacentral:misc_RNA from 1 species
UCAUGCCGUAGUGGUUCUAAUACCACAGCAGGUCCUUGCUACCAAGGAAAUCCCGGAGAUCCGCCUGUCGCACGCACUGGAUCUCGCGAAGGUCGCGAGGACCCGGAAGUCUCCGGUGACGUGUCACGACCGAGAAACUGUCGCGAACGUGCGCGUUACAGUGCUUCGAUUGCGGCCGCGGACAUUAAUUUUAGAUCAUAUCGAGAGAAAUCAUCUCAUCGGGUCGUGGAGCUUUCGGUGGCAUCAGGUGGGAGACUACAAAGGACUUUUAGAAAGAUUUCGUUGGAGGUCAUCAAGCUUUAAUCGGCCAGCUUGGCGAGUGAAGGAUUCAUUGUAUCGAUGACUGUGUGGUGAAACUGACAUUUGCUAUUAUCGAUCAUGGACAUGUGAUGGAAAUAUUGUAUCUCUGAUGUGUGAUAUCUCUCAAACUUGCUCAAAAAGGUCGUUAAAAACACCGGGAAGUUGGCCGACGGCUGGCAGAAUCCCACCCAUCGUCUACCUGAUGUGCAACUUUCGACGCAAUAAAUAUUACAAAAUAUGUGAAGCAUUAUUACAUUGAUAUUUUGGAUCGUGAGAUUGAUCUACAGAUUUCGCGACAGAGAUAUCUAAAAAAACAGAACGAUAAAUGUUGGAAGACAGUAGACAAUCCAGAGUGUUGUCGAAAAUUAUUUAUUUUCAACGACUAAGCUCUCUUGAAACAUCGAUGAUUGAGAUGACUUUGUGCCAUAAUCGAGAAGAUCUAGAAUGGCAGAUGUAAAAAUUCGUUCGAAACAGCAAGAUUUACAUUUUUGUAAACAUCUCAACGAUCAUCAUAAACGUACACUAAUGAUUUAUAGACAGUGAUGAUCCAUGGACUGUAUCUUUCAGUAGUGAUCGUGCUCCAGAAGGCCUAGAAUGGAAGAUGUAAACGUGUAUUGAGAUCAGAAACACCUCACUCUAGACAUCGAAUCUCGCAAUCCCUCGCAUUCCUGAUAAACACAUGAUUCCGGCGCGCUAGUGAUCGAAUGUGAUCUCUUCCUCUCCUGGUGAUCGCGCCUAAUCCUCGACGAUUGAUGCGAGCUGACUGAUCGCUCUCUCGAAGGAGAGACAACAGCCGGCGAGUUGGUACCGAAGAUGGUCCUGGAGCCUGGAGGCGGUCUGUCCUUUCCGUUGGCGCCUGGGAACGGCUCCAGCGCUUCCGGUGGAUCCUUGCUGGCCCCGACCAGGCUGUUCCAACGAACGACGCCGGUGUUCCCGUUUCAUUUGGCAGGAUGGCCGCCUCAUCAUCCGGUUCUGGGACAGGUGCAAAGCCAGGUACAGCAGAGCAUGCAGGCCCAGCAUCAGGCCGCUGCCGCGGCCGUCAGAUUCCUCAGUCAUCAUCACCCGCAUCAUCCGCAUCCGACGUUGAGCAAUCAUUCGCUGGUGCCGGCGAUCGCCGGACAUCAUCCCGCUGUACAUCAUCUGCAUCAUGCUGCUGAUCACGGAGAGGAAGAGGACGAGAAGAAAGCUUGCGACGGGGAGUCGGACGAGGGCGGGAACAAGAGACGAAGAAGUAGAACUAACUUCAACAGUUGGCAGUUGGAAGAAUUGGAGCGGGCCUUCCUGUCGAGUCAUUAUCCCGACGUCUUUAUGCGAGAAGCUCUGGCUGUGAGACUCGAAUUAAAGGAGAGCCGCGUGGCAGUGUGGUUCCAAAAUCGAAGGGCAAAAUGGCGGAAGAAGGAGCACACGAAGAAGGGGCCCGGAAGGCCGGCGCAUAAUGCCCAUCCCCAGAGUUGCAGCGGCGAGCCUAUUCCACCGGAAGAACUAAGACGGAAGGAGCGCGAGAGGCGACAGAAAAAGUUGCUGAAGGCUCUCGAGAGGCAACAGCGGAAGCUCGCUGCUAAAGGCAUAACAGUGGACCUGUCGACACUGCGGGCCGAGUGGGAAUCCCGUAGCGAGGCGGCAUCGGGUCGCGGCACCGCGAGCGGUCCCCUGGGCAGCUCGUUCGGUCAGCUGGGCCUGAACAACGAGAGCAGCAUCUCCGCGUCCGGCAACGACGCCAACGAGGAGAUCGACGUCGUCGGCGGACUGGAUUCCUGCAGCGAGAGCGGAAGCGAGCGGGUCGACUCGGCGGCCGACGGUUCCGUGGACGGCGAGUGCUACCCGACGCUCAACAGCAGCGCGAACGAGUCCGGCGAGCCGCGGAAGAACCCGCCGAACCCGCCGAUGGAGCACUUGAACCACCAACCCGGUAUCCAUCACUGGGGCCUGAGCCUGCUCGAGCGACGACGCGAGCUGGUGGGUGUCGUCGGGACGGGCCGUCAGCAGUCGGUCGGCACCGGCCCCAGGAAUAAUCUCAUCAGGCAGGCCGCCAGCGAGGAGGAGGUCCAGAGCGGCAGCAUUGAUCUCUCGGUGAAGGGCAGGGAGGAGAGAAAGAGGCUGAAUCCGUUCUCCAUCGACAGCCUGUUGGGGAACAACAACCGGACUUCGAGCGCGGCGUCGGAGCGCAGGCCGAUGACGCCGACGUCGCCGACAUCGCCCGUCUCGUCGGCCUGCACGUCGCCCUCCACGACGUAGUGAACAGGCGUGGGUGAGACGCCGAGAGACCACGCGCCGGCGUUCUCAGUCAUUGCGUCCCUCCGCCAUGUCGUCCCGUUCCUCUUUCCCUCUCUACCGUGCGUCUGGAAUGAAGCGACACGACAGGAUCACGGAUUCAGAAGAGCCAAAUUUGUUGUCUCGUCGACGGAUGUUUCGUCUCCAACCCCAACGUGAUCGGAGGAUCCGUGUCGAUUGCUAUGUGGACGAAGUCAUCACGUUGUCCAUGGCGAGGAUAUCGACAAGGGCUUCGUCAAAGCGAACCAGCAUCUCUGUUGACGGAAGGUACGUGUUUCGCUUACCAGCCGGCCUUUGAUCACGCGAUUUCCCCUGAUCGACUGUAAUCAUCCCUCCUGCCGACAAUCCUGAUGAUAUCGAUUGUUGCCCGUAAUACAUUUUUCCUUCGCUUUAAUUGCCUUUGUUCAACGUGAUGUAAUUUAGAGAGCUAAAAGAACCUCGAUGAAACGGAUGCAGAUGAACUUUAUUAUAAAAUAUCAUUAUAUUUCCGUCGCGUCUCUCUUCAAACGUCAAGCUCGGCGAGAAAGAAGAGGACGAUAAACGUCGAAAAAUAUUCGCCAUUAUGUAAAAGCGCUUCCCUCGUUCCCGGUGAAAAUGUGCAUUUUGAGGAAUUAAACGCAUAUAUGAAAAAAUAUCUCUCUGU